rnacentral:rRNA from 1 species
AUUGAACGCUGGCGGCAUGCCUUACACAUGCAAGUCGAACGGCAGCACGGGUGCUUGCACCUGGUGGCGAGUGGCGAACGGGUGAGUAAUAUAUCGGAACGUACCUUAUUGUGGGGGAUAACGCAGCGAAAGCUGUGCUAAUACCGCAUAAUCCCUAAGGGGGAAAGCGGGGGACCGUAAGGCCUCGCGCAAUUAGAGCGGCCGAUACCUGAUUAGCUAGUUGGUGAGGUAAAGGCUCACCAAGGCAACGAUCAGUAGCUGGUCUGAGAGGAUGAUCAGCCACACUGGGACUGAUACACGGCCCAGACUCCUACGGGAGGCAGCAGUGGGGAAUUUUGGACAAUGGGGGCAACCCUGAUCCAGCAAUGCCGCGUGAGUGAAGAAGGCCUUCGGGUUGUAAAGCUCUUCUGUCAGGGAAGAAACAGCAGCUCUAACACAGUAUGCGAAUGACGGUACCUGAAGAAUAAGCACCGGCUAACUACGUGCCAGCCGCCGCAGUAA